rnacentral:rRNA from 1 species
GUCGAGCGGACAGAAGGGAGCUUGCUCCCGGAUGUUAGCGGCGGACGGGUGAGUAACACGUGGGUAACCUGCCUGUAAGACUGGGAUAACUCCGGGAAACCGGAGCUAAUACCGGAUAGUUCCUUGAACCGCAUGGUUCAAGGAUGAAAGACGGUUUCGGCUGUCACUUACAGAUGGACCCGCGGCGCAUUAGCUAGUUGGUGAGGUAACGGCUCACCAAGGCGACGAUGCGUAGCCGACCUGAGAGGGUGAUCGGCCACACUGGGACUGAGACACGGCCCAGACUCCUACGGGAGGCAGCAGUAGGGAAUCUUCCGCAAUGGACGAAAGUCUGACGGAGCAACGCCGCGUGAGUGAUGAAGGUUUUCGGAUCGUAAAGCUCUGUUGUUAGGGAAGAACAAGUGCAAGAGUAACUGCUUGCACCUUGACGGUACCUAACCAGAAAGCCACGGCUAACUACGUGCCAGCAGCCGCGGUAAUACGUAGGUGGCAAGCGUUGUCCGGAAUUAUUGGGCGUAAAGGGCUCGCAGGCGGUUUCUUAAGUCUGAUGUGAAAGCCCCCGGCUCAACCGGGGAGGGUCAUUGGAAACUGGGAAACUUGAGUGCAGAAGAGGAGAGUGGAAUUCCACGUGUAGCGGUGAAAUGCGUAGAGAUGUGGAGGAACACCAGUGGCGAAGGCGACUCUCUGGUCUGUAACUGACGCUGAGGAGCGAAAGCGUGGGGAGCGAACAGGAUUAGAUACCCUGGUAGUCCACGCCGUAAACGAUGAGUGCUAAGUGUUAGGGGGUUUCCGCCCCUUAGUGCUGCAGCUAACGCAUUAAGCACUCCGCCUGGGGAGUACGGUCGCAAGACUGAAACUCAAAGGAAUUGACGGGGGCCCGCACAAGCGGUGGAGCAUGUGGUUUAAUUCGAAGCAACGCGAAGAACCUUACCAGGUCUUGACAUCCUCUGACAACCCUAGAGAUAGGGCUUUCCCUUCGGGGACAGAGUGACAGGUGGUGCAUGGUUGUCGUCAGCUCGUGUCGUGAGAUGUUGGGUUAAGUCCCGCAACGAGCGCAACCCUUGAUCUUAGUUGCCAGCAUUCAGUUGGGCACUCUAAGGUGACUGCCGGUGACAAACCGGAGGAAGGUGGGGAUGACGUCUAA